GAAAGGAGGAUGUGUGUGCACAUGCAUCUGAGAUGGGGCACAGCCGGGACAGCUGACCCCAACUGACCAGAGGGGUAUCCCAUGCCAUAUGAUAUUGUGACCAGCAAUAAAAGCUGAAGGGAAAUAGCAGAAAGGGAAGGUGGACGGAGGACACUUUUGAAGUUAUGGCAUUUUAUCUUCCAAAGUGACUCAUGCAUGAUGUAGCCCUGUUUCUAAGGAGGCUAAGCACCAGCCUGCCUGUGAGAAGUGAUUGCAAUGAUCAAAGAACUCUUCAGAGAGACCUACCUUCAUACACGUCUGCAGAAUAAACUAUUGGAGAUUUUUGAAAGCAAAAAUACCAGGCCCAU
rnacentral:lncRNA from 1 species